UUACAGUAAAAGAGCUUUUUUCAAUGAAAAUAGUUUUGUCUUAGUUUUAAAUAUCUGUGUGGCUCAAUAAGCAGACAUUGUAGGUUUUCGAGCCUACAUGUAAAUACUGUAGUUCUUAGCAUUUACAGGUGUAUACUAUAGAUUUUAGUGUGCACAUGUUUUUUCCCCUCUGUUGGACCACCCCUUUGCCAUGGUCAAGUGGCAUGCUUGUCACAAUGACCCCCAGAAAUAUGCCGACAGGAGCACUAGCUCCUGGCAUUGUCACCCAUUUUGGAGAGAUCAAAAGUGGUUCACUGGUCCUCUAGGUUAAAGGGGUUGGGCAAUCGACUAACAAUUCAUUCAUAUAAAAGCAUAUGGUUACUGAAACUGGCGACAUCCCAACAAACUGUGGGACAUGUCUGAGAUGGGAAUUACAAGAUUGCGUACUGAAAAAUAUUUCAUUUAUAAUACACAAUAUGCAAAAAACAGAUAUACAUGAACUACAAUUAUGUUUGUACCUGGAUUCACCUUUUCAACUGAACAAUUUUCAUUAUCACCUGAAUAAAGUAGAGAGGGAGCACUUGAACGGUUAUUAAAUAGUCCUGAGCUCAUUUCAAUAGGGGGAGAGAGCAGUAACAUUACAUUCCUUGCUUGCUGCUGACUAGAAUGAAAACCAAUACAUAGUGUACGGCAGAAUUUACUUUUAAUGAUUGCAAAAAA